UGGUGUAUCAGGUGGACAAAUUGACUGA
rnacentral:piRNA from 1 species